CAGCCGCCGCGGGAAUACGAAGGGGGCUAGCGUUGCUCGGAAUGACUGGGCGUAAAGGGCGCGUAGGCGGCGGCCAAAGUCAGACGUGAAAUUCCUGGGCUCAACCUGGGGGCUGCGUUUGAUACUUGGUUGCUUGAGUGGGGAAGAGGGUCGUGGAAUUCCCAGUGUAGAGGUGAAAUUCGUAGAUAUUGGGAAGAACACCGGUGGCGAAGGCGGCCAUCUGGGACAACACUGACGCUGAGGCACGAAAGCGUGGGGAGCAAACAGGAUUAGAUACCCCCGUAGUCCCUGUCUCUUAUAC
rnacentral:rRNA from 1 species